UACGGAGGGUGCAAGCGUUGUUCGGAUUUACUGGGCGUAAAGCGCGCGCAGGCGGGUUUACAAGUCAGAUGUGAAAUCUCGGGGCUUAACCCCGAAACUGCGUCUGAAACUGUAGACCUAGAAUAUCAUAGGGGGCAGGGGAAUUUCACGUGUAGGGGUAAAAUCCGUAGAGAUGUGAAGGAACACCGGAGGCGAAGGCGCCUGCCUGGACCGAUACUGACGCUGAGGCGCGAAAGCGUGGGGAGCAAACAGG
rnacentral:rRNA from 1 species